UACAGAGGGGGCAAGCGUUAUUCGGAAUUAUUGGGCGUAAAGGGCGCGUAGGCGGCCUGGCAAGUGGAAGGUGAAAUCCCUCGGCUUAACCGAGGAACUGCCUCCCAAACUGCUUGGCUUGAGACCAGGAGAGGUGAGUGGAAUUCCCAGUGUAGCGGUGAAAUGCGUAGAUAUUGGGAAGAACACCAGUGGCGAAGGCGGCUCACUGGCCCGUAACUGACGCUGAGGUGCGAAAGCGUGGGGAGCAAACAGG
rnacentral:rRNA from 1 species